UUAUAUUACAAUUACUUGCAACUAGUUGUGAAGUCUGAAAUAUUCGAUUCAAUUGCAAACUUUGAGUGUAGUUUUUGAAAAGAUGUUAUUUAGACUGUAUAUUUUUUUCUUCUUUUUUGAGUUAGUGCCAAUUAUAACAUUUUAAUCAAACUGGAACAAAUUGCUAUUAAAAUGGAUCAUUUCUUUAUUAAAAGAAAGAGGAAUAGUGAAGUGAAAUACACAGAAGCAUGUUCAAGUUCAUCUGUUGAAUCUGGAAUUGUGAAUAGUGACAAUAUUGAGAAAAAUACUGACUCCAAUCUGCAAACUUCAACUUCAUUUGAGCCACAUUUCAAAAAGAAAAAAAAGAAAAAUUUGAAACAUUAAGGGAAAACAGUUGGGUAAAAGAUCCAUUUGCUUUUCGAAACCCUGAAUCAAUAAUUGAGCUAAACUUGGUGCCUGAAGAAGAGAAUGAAUUAUUGCAGCUUAGUUCUUCAUAUACAUUGAAGAAUGAUUAUGAAACCUUAAGUUUAUCAGCAUUUUGGAUGAAGGUAAAGGAAGACUUUCCAUUGUUAAGUAGAAAGAGUGUCCUGCUAUUGCUACCAUUCACAACAACUAGUUUGUGUGAACUAGGGUUUUCCAUCUUAACGCAGUUAAAAACAAAGGAAAGAAAUGGGCUGAAUUGUGCAGCAGCUAUGCGGGUAGCAUUAUCUUCCUGUGUUCCAGACUGGAAUGAACUUAUGAACAGGCAAGCACACCCAUCAUAGUAAAUAAA
rnacentral:lncRNA from 1 species